rnacentral:snRNA from 1 species
GGGUAUAAGGACAAUCUGGCUGCGACAUUUGUCACCCCGUUGAUCGCCAGCGUUGAUUCAGCUGAUCUGGCUGGCCAGGCGGGUGUCCUCUUCCUCACCGCUCCAUGUGUGUCCCUCCCGAAGCCGCACGAUCGGUGGAAGAAGACGACUAUCCCCAAUAGAGGAGCACGGAUCUUCGGUCAAGGGUAUACAAGUAGUUGCGCUCCCCUGUUAGAACCUCCAAACAAGCUCUAAAAGAUAUUAACUGAUUUUCCUGAAGGCACACUUCUGGAACAAAAUGUAACUCGAGUACUAAAUUUUAUACCAAACCAAAUUAAACUCCGUAAGGGAAGUAAAGGAAAUUU